rnacentral:rRNA from 1 species
CAGCCGCCACGGGAAAACGUAGGCGGCAAGCGUUGUCCGGAAUUAUUGGGCGUAAAGGGCUCGCAGGCGGUUUCUUAAGUCUGAUGUGAAAGCCCCCGGCUCAACCGGGGAGGGUCAUUGGAAACUGGGAAACUUGAGUGCAGAAGAGGAGAGUGGAAUUCCACGUGUAGCGGUGAAAUGCGUAGAGAUGUGGAGGAACACCAGUGGCGAAGGCGACUCUCUGGUCUGUAACUGACGCUGAGGAGCGAAAGCGUGGGGAGCGAACAGGAUUAGAUACCCCUGUAGUCCCUGUCUCUUAUAC